AACUUUCAACAACGGAUCUCUUGGUUCCAGCAUCGAUGAAGAACGCAGCGAAAUGCGAUAACUAAUGUGAAUUGCAGAAUUCAGUGAAUCAUCGAAUCUUUGAACGCAUAUUGC
rnacentral:rRNA from 1 species